rnacentral:lncRNA from 1 species
GGCGCAAAUUUUUUCGGCCGUUCGUUGCCUCAUCAACGUCCAGGCGUUCAGCGAAGCAUCCUAUUCUUUUCUGUUCUUUCUGCGACGCCCACGAAGGUUCCAGACUGUAGAAGCCCCCAACCCCGCUUGGAGCUCCAUUUGCCCCACCACGGUGCCAGCAACUCCACCCCCUGCCCCCCCGCCGGCAGAUCCCCCACCCCGCCAGGAGCUCUGCCCAGGCCUACCACGGUGCCAGCAACUCCACCACCCCCUCCCUCGCCAUUGGCGGUUCCCCCACCCCGCUAGGAGCACCGCCCAGGCGGAUGACUUCACCUUCGAAGCCCCUGCCACGCAGCCAGUGUCAAGAUUACCCCCACCUACACCCCUCGCCAGAGGACCGUCCCCUUGAUGUCGGACGGCCAACGGAUUCACCUCCCACGCCCUCCACGAGCCUGAUAAAUCGUCGGCGCAAAUUUUUUCGGCCGUUCGUUGCCUCAUCAACGUCCAGGCGUUCAGCGAAGCAUCCUAUUCUUUUCUGUUCUUUCUGCGACGCCCACGAAGGUUCCAGACUGUAGAAGCCCCCAACCCCGCUUGGAGCUCCAUUUGCCCCACCACGGUGCCAGCAACUCCACCCCCUGCCCCCCCGCCGGCAGAUCCCCCACCCCGCCAGGAGCUCUGCCCAGGCCUACCACGGUGCCAGCAACUCCACCACCCCCUCCCUCGCCAUUGGCGGUUCCCCCACCCCGCUAGGAGCACCGCCCAGGCGGAUGACUUCACCUUCGAAGCCCCUGCCACGCAGCCAGUGUCAAGAUUACCCCCACCUACACCCCUCGCCAGAGGACCGUCCCCUUGAUGUCGGACGGCCAACGGAUUCACCUCCCACGCCCUCCACGAGCCUGAUAAAUCAAGAAUUUACUAGAAUUUCUACACGCCCAUGAAUGAUUUUAUUGUUGCUACUGAAUGAUGUAAUAGAUUGAGUAUACUGUUGUGUUUGCAGGGAUGCUAAAGGUCGCGGCAAGUGGCUCUACUGCCACUCCACUCUGAGGCGGUGCCAGCGUUGAUGACCACCUCUCGGCCUACUACUUCUUCUCCAGCAUGGGUCUAGUCCAAGUCGCGAUACGGGGUUUGGACAUUUUGGGCUAGGUUCCUUCCCAACUCUGUAGUGUAGCCUCUCCGCGGCAUGGUCCAGCUCUGCUCCUUUCCCUUGGUUCUGAUGGCGUGGCUGGCUGUUGCCCUUUGCAGGUUGUUCAGCAUGGGUCUAGUGAAUGAAGGCAUCGACAUGGAGGAGGGAAACCUGGAGAUAGGCAUAGCAAUUCUUUUGCAUGAUUAUUAGUUUUAUUUUAUUAAUCUAUGCUAGAUCUCAAAUACACGCAAUCCAAUCUUGAAGAUCUGGUUAAAAAAGUAUGCUGCUUGUACCAUAAACUGUGUGCGACGCAAAUUUCAGUAAGUGCAAUUUGUUGAUGUAUUGUGAUGGUAGACCGACCUUCCUUCUGCAGAGUGGAACCAAAGGUAUUUGUUGAGUUCUUUGGCAUUGCCAUAUAGUAGAUUUGACCGGGAAGCUUGCAGGUCUACUAUAUGUCCUGGUUUUCGUAUCUGCAUGUCUUCAUGUUCAAAAUGGUGAUUCGGUUUAUAUGAGAGUAUUGUCUUAGUGCUAGUGUGGAUAACAUCAAGAUGGUGUACCAUGUACGGUGAUGACUUUGCUGAACUUAGUACUUUCAAAUGUGUGACAAGGAAGGAAAGUAGCAAGCUGAAAAGGAAGAACCAAGAUAAAAUGUUUGAUGCAUAUAUCCUGCAUGGGUCUGCAAUACAAUCUACAACACACUAGAUUAUAUGUGAAGGUCAGAUUUUU